rnacentral:rRNA from 1 species
CCUGAGAAACCCAAAAGAUCGAAUGGGGAGAUUCAUCGUCAGCUCAUUUUGUAUAUGUAUAAGUUAUGAUGCGGGUUACUACUUGUAGUAUUGCCUGCACAUUCUUGUAUAUUUAGUUGCAAGAUGUUGUCGGCGUGCACUUCUCCCCUAGUAGGACGUCGCGACCUGUUGGGUGUCGGUCUACGGCUCAAGUGAUAGCCUUUAAUGUAAUUUAAAAAACAUUGAAGAUCCUUGAUGUUUUCUGACCGGCUACUUGGCAGUAUUCGUACGGUAUUUAGCCGCUAAAUUUAUUGAGCGUCCAUAUCUAUCACAAGCGAGGCUAAUUUAUUGAUAGUACGGACCUAGUGCCGUCGUUGAUAUUGGCCAGCUGUUGGUUGAUAGUAUUCUAGGACUGGCUAAAAUUAAUUACCGGUCGGCGAUGCUACUGCUUUGGGUACUUUCAG